AGCUAUGUCCCUAGCUCUGGUAACAUUUAUUUUGCAAAGGCUAGGUUCAGACUUUAAAUCCUCCUGUCAGCCUCCCAGAGUGCCCGUUUUCCAGCACAGUCACCUUGCCUGCUAGAUACCUGCAUUUCUAAACAGCUGCUGGCUGCCACUGGUGCUGCAGGUGAGUGUACCUUGGUCUGAGUAGUAAGCUUUUGUCUAUAGGCUUCUGCCUGGGUCAGUCACAGGGCAUUGGGUAGAUUUAAACCACUUUCAAUUCCUUUGUGCAAGGCUGAGACAGAUUAUUCAAAUCACUUCCCUUUGGAGACCGAGUUAGAGGGAAGUUAAGAGAUUUCUUGGGGAAUGUCAAGUACUUGAUGGUAUCACAUUUCACUUCCAGGGACAGUGCAGAGUGAAAAGAAGUCGGAGGUUAGAGAGCCUUAGGUAUAACUCUGGGCCCAAUAUUGGUCAUUCUGUGUUUCAUUAGGGGUGAUGUCUGCUUUGAAUGAUUGUUAAUGGUGACAUAAACUAAGAGGGGCUUAGUUUUCUUCCUCUCUCUUUUUUUUGUCUUUGCUAUGCAGUUCAGGCUGGCCUUGAACUCAUUUUGUAGUCCAGGCUGGUCUUGAACUCACGGUGAUCCUCCUGCCUCAGCCUCCCGAAUGCUGGGAUUACAGGUGUGCACUACCACAUCUGACUAGAGGCUUAUUUUUCACACAUAACAAGAAGUCCUUUGUUGUUGUGGAGAUCUUUGGGUCAACUACCAGUCAUCAAGAACCAGGAGCAUUUUGUUAGGUCCAACAUGUCUACCACGGGAAAAGACAACACGACUCCUGGGGUCUUGUCUGCCUUUUCAUCAGGAAGAAGGGGCUGUCUCUGGGCCUGUGCCGCCUGGGGAUUCCCACUUGCAAGAAGUAUGGGAAAGAAAAGCCAGCACUUCCAGCCUGCGUUCUGGAGAGCAGAGGGAGAGGAGAGAUUGGAGAAGUGCUGGACCUGUUUGAGAAUGUGCUAAACAAAGGUACUAAAGAAAGCAGCUGAACUGAAGAAAAUGUGACUCAGUUCUGUUCCUUCAUUUUUUAGGAAUUACAGUUUUACUUUUUUGAGACAGGGUCUCACCACGAAGUCCAAGCAUGAACUCUGUAGCGAUCCUCCUACUUCAGCCUGUUGACUGCUGGGAUUACAGGUGUGCACCAGCUAAAAAUCAGGGCCCUACAGAGAUACGGUUCACAUUCCGUCAGAUUUACCCUUGUUAAGUGUGUGAUGCAGUGGUCACGCGGCCUCACUGAAUCGUGCAACCCUCCCCACGAUCACGUUUCCCACCAAGGAGCCUCAUGUCCAGGUGGUGAUAAUUCUUCAUUCUCUUUCCCGCCCAGUCUCAGGCACAUGCUGAUAUGCACAGUGUCCCUAAGGAUUUCUUUUAUUUAUUCAUUCGUAGUUAUUUUUUUACUGACUUGUUUACUAGGAGGAAUUCCAAGAUUAAUAGUGACAUCACUGAUGAAGAUACUGAAAUUCGAACACGAAAGUCUAGUAUGAGUUCAUCGUGUGCUACGGCUGCCAGUGAAACAACAACAACAAUGAUGAUAUUGUUUAUUGUGUGAACAAAUGUGGUUCUGUUCUAUGGAGAAUCAUAACAUGGGGGUAAAUGAUGGCGGAUCUAUAGCCUUAAAAUGCAUCUUCGAGGUUGCGGGAGCCAGCCUUCUCUAAACAGUCUCAAAGGACUGUGGGAUCUGAGUCACACUUGCUGUUUUAUGCUAGUGGGAGCCAAGCAGGAGGGUUCUACCCCUUCCACUGUGAGUAGGGGCAACUGGUGGGAAUGCAUUGAACUACAGCUCAAAGGCCAGGCUGAGGAGAGCCGGCAGCCUUGGCUGCAUAACAAAUGAAGGUUUACUUUGGAGGGGGAAUGGGCUGGGGGAGGGCCUUGCCUCGGAAGUGUCCACCUGAAGGAAGAAGCUGAUGGACCUUAUGGACCCAGAAGGAGCUGUGGAUCAACAUGAGGGAAACUGACAGUAGUCAGAACUCUAUUUUUUUUUUUUUUUUUUUAAAUUUUUAGUACCAGGAAUCAAACUCAGGACCUUGCGCUUGCCAGGCAGGAGUUUGUGCCACUGAGCUAUGUCCCUGGCCCCGGCAGAGAUCAAACCAGGCUUAUUUGAGAAGAUGGAUACCAGGACCUUCCUGGCCUCUGAAGCAGGCGUUGUCACCUGUGAAUGGAUCAGUGCUUUAAGAGCAUCCCACAGGGCGUGUGAUCUCCCUGAAGGAGAACUGGAACUCAUGCACGGGUGAACUACAUAGCUGGCCUUGAACUCACUAUGUAGCCCAGGCUGGCCUCAAAUUUACAGCAAUCCUCCUGUCUCAGCCUCCCAAGUGCUGGAAUUAUAGACAUGAGUUACCACACCUGGCCCUGACUUGAUUUUCAACUGAAGUGCUUUUCUGUAUGUGUGUGAGUGAUGUGAGCAGCAUUUAUACCUAGAGCUCAUGAGCAAAUGGCCAUUCACACAAGUGCUCCUUUGGUUGGUGUUUAUCUGUAGGCUGUGUGCCGUCCAUCCAUCCCCACUGUGGGGUCUGGUUGCU